UACGAAGGGAGCUAGCGUUGUUCGGAAUCACUGGGCGUAAAGCGCACGUAGGCGGAUGUGUCAGUCAGGGGUGAAAUCCCGGAGCUCAACUUCGGAACAGCCUUUGAUACAGCACGUCUUGAGUCCGAUAGAGGUGGGUGGAAUUCCUAGUGUAGAGGUGAAAUUCGUAGAUAUUAGGAAGAACACCGGUGGCGAAGGCGGCCCACUGGAUCGGUACUGACGCUGAGGUGCGAAAGCGUGGGGAGCAAACAGG
rnacentral:rRNA from 1 species